UCCCUCUGGAGCAAGGGAGGAAACCGGGACCGGCCGAGCCGUGAUGGAGCCCGGGACCAGGCCAGGGUGCGUGGUGGGACCACUUCAGGAUGGACACUGGGGCCAGUUCAGAAGAGACUCCGGGAGGACUUCAAGGAGAGGAUGCUGGCACCAAUUCAGGGGGGAUACGGGGACCAGUUGAGGCCAAGAGAGGAUACUGCAACCAGUUCAGGCCAGGGAACAACAGUGGAAGCAACAUAUAUCAGAUCACACUAAGAAAUAAUGAAAAUGUUCUGUAGCCAACUGAGGAAGCUCUUACGGAAAUUGCUAAAAAUUGCAUUAUGGAUGGACGAAUAUUCAAUUGUGUCAUGUAUGGAUACACCUGCACAUGCUCUACCAACAGAAAAAUAAAAGCUCUGCAAUGGGAUUCGGAUGGAAGCAAAGCUGGGGCAAUAUCGUAUCUUCAGUGCAAGUUCAGCUCUUCGUCCUUUCUGAAUUCUGCAGCUGCUCUGAGCUUUUCAGUCUUCUCUUCAACAAUUUCAAUGCAGAAAAUGCAAGCCUGAUUAAUUCCAUUCGAGAAGACUCAAAAUGAAGCAUUAAUUGCUCACUACUCUGCACUUGUAAUA